CCUACGGGUGUCAGCAGUGCGGAAUAUUGGUCAAUGGCCGGAAGGCUGAACCAGCCAAGCCGCGUGCAGGACGAAGGUGCCAAGCAUUGUAACCUUCUUUUGUCAAGGGACAAAAUCCGGCUCUCGAGCCUGACCGAGGGUACUUUACGAACAAGCAUCGGCUAACUCCGUGCCAGCAGCCGCGGUACUACAGGGGAUUCGAGCUUUAUCCGGAUUUAUUUGGUUUGAAGGGUGCGUCGGCGUGCUGUUAAGUCCGCGGUAAAAGCACGGGGUUAAACCCCGGCGAGCGGUUGAAACUGGUGGGCUGGAGAUGGCGAGAGGUAGGCGGAAUGCGCAGUGUAGCGGUGAAAUGCGUAGAUAUCACGAAGAACUCCGAUUGCGAAGGCAGCUCACUGGACUGCAACUGACACUGAUGCGCGAAAGUGUGGGUAUCAAACAGGAUUAGAUACCCGAGUAGUC
rnacentral:rRNA from 1 species